rnacentral:rRNA from 1 species
AAUAUUCGACAAUGGGCGAAAGCCUGAUCCAGCCAUUCCGCGUGUGUGAAGUAGGUCUUCGGUUUGUAAAGCACUUUAUGCUGUGUUGAAGGGGUUGAAGCUAAUACCUUCAAUCUUUGACGUUAUCUACAGAAUAAGCACCGGCUCACCCUGUGCCAGCAGCCGCGGUAAUACAGAGGGUGCAAGCGUUAAUCGGAAUUACUGGGCGUAAAGCGCGCGUAGGUGGUUCAGUAAGAUGGAAGUGAAAUCCCCGGGCUUAACCUGGGAACUGCUUUCAUAACUGCUGAGCUAGAGUACGGUAGAGGGUAGUGGAAUUUCCUGUGUAGCGGUGAAAUGCGUAGAUAUAGGAAGGAACACCAGUGGCGAAGGCGACUACCUGGACUGAUACUGACACUGAGGUGCGAAAGCGUGGGGAGCAAACAGG